GGUGCUAUAGUGUAGUGGUUAUCACUCGGGAUUUUGACUUUGCGUUGAAUUUCCCGAAACCCAGGUUCGAACCCUGGUAGCACCU
rnacentral:tRNA from 1 species